UUUAAGGGUCUUAAAAAUGACUAAGUCCCCAAUACUUAGUGAAAAUUUCAAGCCUUAAGCCCCUUAAGUAUGCAAUUAAGAGCUGAAUCAAGCUAGGACUAGUACAGGGUAUUACAAUAUCUCUCCCUUAGGAAUAUUCGUCCUCAAAUGAGAUUAGUUAGACUGUGAGUACUGUACUAAGGUAACUGAGAUCAUAUACUGAACAUGCAUAACUUGGAACAUGAGUGCAUAACUGAUUCUGAGCAUGAUACAUGAACUGAACUGAUUUUGCGAAUACAUGCAAUGACAUGAG
rnacentral:lncRNA from 1 species